UCAGAUAAAUGCAGAUUUUUGUUUGCCAAAGGUCAGGUCUUUUGUUUUUGUUGCUUGUUAAUUUUCUGCUUUGGAAUUGUUGAACGGUUUGUUUGGUUCUUUUUGUGGGCUCAACAAAACCAAAAUCACACAAAAAAAUGCAAGGUUUUGAAAAUUGCUUACGUUUCAGCUUCAACCUUUUUAAUUGUUAUUAUGGACCAAAAGAAAAACUCAGUUGUUAUUUAUUUUUUCUUUUUGUUGCAUUGGUUUCUAUUUAUUGUAUGUAGUGAGAGCAUGGAUUUAAAUCGGAGUUUUCGUUGUGAUUCUCGAAAUUAAAGAAAAA
rnacentral:lncRNA from 1 species